rnacentral:rRNA from 1 species
UACGGAGGAGGCAAGCGUUAUCCGGAAUUAUUGGGCGUAAAGCGUCCGUAGGUGGUUUAGUAAGUCUGCUGUUAAAGCGCGGGGCUUAACUCCGUAUCGGCAGUGGAAACUACUAGACUAGAGUGUGGUAGGGGUAGAGGGAAUUCCCAGUGUAGCGGUGAAAUGCGUAGAGAUCAGGAAGAACACCGGUGGCGAAAGCGCUCUGCUGGACCUUAACUGACACUGAGGGACGAAAGCUAGGGGAGCGAAUGGG